GUGAAAUCGGGAAAACAUUGAAGUGAUUAAAUUUAUAAAAGUGGCCAAAUUUGGACGAAUCGUUUCGGAGAGCUCAUGUAUUUGGGUUGUUGUGCUAAGCGGCUACAAUCUUUGCUCGAAAGAUUGGCCCAUAGUCAACCCAAUAAUUCCCGGGAUACCGUGAAAGCCAUCUUGCCGGUGCAAGAUGCAUUCAGGUAAGUAAAGUGUACACAUUAAAAUCAAUCAACAAUGAUUGAAUGUUUGAUUUUACUAGGCCAAUUAAAAAAUGGGGUUGUUCCACCCCGAUAUUUGCACAGGUCGUAGAUGAGGGCAAGACGUCAUCCCUCUUCGUCUACCGAUUCUGCCAAUGCCGGUGGAUCCCCGAAAUAGAUCAGAUUAUUUUUCAUCCGACACAAACCGACGUUAGCCCUUGUGACUGGGGACAAAAAGUAAUUCCCACACGACACUGGAC